GCCAGGUGUGGUGGCGCAUGCCUGUAAUCCCAGCUACUCAGGAGGCUGAGGCAGGAGAAUCGCUUGAACCUGGGAGGCAGAGGUUGCAGUGAGCUGAGAUCGUGCCACUGCACUCCAGCCUAGGUGACAGAGUGAGACUCUGUCUCAA
rnacentral:sRNA from 1 species